rnacentral:rRNA from 1 species
CACGUAGGAGGCAAGCGUUAUCCGGAUUUACUGGGCGUAAAGCGCGUGUAGGCGGUUUGGUAAGUUGGAUGUGAAAUCUCCUGGCUCAACUAGGAGAGGUCGUUCAAUACUGCCAGACUAGAGGACGGUAGAGGAAGGUAGAAUUCCCGGUGUAGUGGUGAAAUGCGUAGAUAUCGGGAGGAAUACCAGUGGCGAAGGCGGCCUUCUGGGCCGUUCUUGACGCUGAGGCGCGAAAGCUAGGGGAGCAAACGGG